ensembl:lincRNA
CCUAGUUCAUAUGGUCUAUAAACUGUCCACAUUCAAAGUAAGCUUCAUAUAUGUAAAGUACUGUUGUUUUCAUUUGUGUUAGGAGUUACAUAGUUCAAGAUAGGUUUUUCUAGCAGUAUAAUAUUUUUAAAUUCUGGUUUUUAUUACAUAUUUAUAUAGAUCAGUGGAUCAAAGAAACAUCCUCAAGAAACUAAGAAACAACACAAGAUUCUCUCUGAUGAAAUGCUUAAGUAUAAGGAAAAUGACGGAAGACACAGAAGAGCAGCAGAAGUGGGUAGAAGACUACUACAGAUGCCAGAGCGCCACUUCUGAAAGAAAGGCUCACGACAACUGGGUAAGUUUUUUUUUUUUCUUUCCUUGCUUUUGGACAUAAUCUGCCAGGUCAGGACGUGGAUGUAUUUUUCUCCCCCACAGCUCUGUGUUUAAGCCUCGCAGAGGGAGAUGCAAGAGAAGAAGGCUGCCUACAAGCAGCACAGGUAGGUAAUUGUGAUGGACAUUUCUAAGGAUGUCUUUGUUUUAAGACAAAGCUUUGAGUAUCUAGUAAAGAACUUGGUGUUUUAAUUCUUAUUUAAGUUCAUUCUUUCUCUAUCUCCAAGAUAGGAAAUGAUUGAAAAACAGAGAGUGCUGGAGAGACACAUUAGUCAGGAGCCAGCUAGUGGACAACCAGGCAUAGAGAAUCAUCCCCAAAGAGGUCAAUAUGGCUUUGGGAGGGCCCCUUUUUCAGGAUUGCCCUACUUGCUCUACUGCAUGGCUGGCUCUUCAGGACCAUUUGUGGGCUGCCAGACACCUCCUCUGCCUGGGUGGCCUCUGGGAACACGACCACUGCCUCCAUGCACACCACUUGGACAAGCUGAAAUUUGAAGAGGCCCCUGAGCUCUGACAGCCAUGCUGUGGCUCCUACAUAACUUGGAAAAGUAUCCAAUACAUUUUACGCUGCCUGCCCAGUGCUGCCUCAUCUGUCUCUAAUCUUCUGUAGUGUUUCCCCUAAUAAAGGUUUGCAGUCCUAUCUGUUUGG